GAUGAACGCUGGCGGCGUGCCUAAUACAUGCAAGUCGAGCGAACGGACGAGAAGCUUGCUUCUCUGAUGUUAGCGGCGGACGGGUGAGUAACACGUGGAUCACCUACCUAUAAGACUGGGAUAACUUCGGGAAACCGGAGCUACUACCAGAUAAUAUUUUGAACCGCAUGGUUCAAAAGUGAAAGACGGUCUUGCUGUCACUUAUAGCUGGAUCCGCGCUGCAUUAGCUAGUUGGUAAGGUAACGGCUUACCAAGGCAACGAUGCAUAGCCGACCUGAGAGGGUGAUCGGCCACACUGGAACUGAGACACGGUCCAGACUCCUACGGGAGGCAGCAGUAGGGAAUCUUCCGCAAUGGGCGAAAGCCUGACGGAGCAACGCCGCGUGAGUGAUGAAGGUCUUCGGAUCGUAAAACUCUGUUAUUAGGGAAGAACAUAUGUGUAAGUAACUGUGCACAUCUUGACGGUACCUAAUCAGAAAGCCACGGCUAACUACGUG
rnacentral:rRNA from 1 species